rnacentral:rRNA from 1 species
AUUGAACGCUGGCGGCAUGCCUUACACAUGCAAGUCGAACGGCAGCACGGGGGCAACCCUGGUGGCGAGUGGCGAACGGGUGAGUAAUGCAUCGGAACGUGCCCAGUAGUGGGGGAUAACCCGGCGAAAGCCGGGCUAAUACCGCAUACGACCUAUGGGUGAAAGCGGGGGACCGUAAGGCCUCCCGCUAUUGGAGCGGCCGAUGUCUGAUUAGCUAGUUGGCGGGGUAAAGGACCACCAAGGCGACGAUCAGUAGCUGGUCUGAGAGGACGACCAGCCACACUGGGACUGAGACACGGCCCAGACUCCUACGGGAGGCAGCAGUGGGGAAUUUUGGACAAUGGGCGCAAGCCUGAUCCAGCCAUGCCGCGUGCGGGAAGAAGGCCUUCGGGUUGUAAACCGCUUUUGGCAGGAACGAAACGGCGCGGGUGAAUAUCCCGCGCUAAUGACGGUACCUGCAGAAUAAGCACCGGCUAACUACGUGCCAGCCGCCGCCGUAACAC